UACGGAGGGAGCUAGCGUUGUUCGGAAUUAUUGGGCGUAAAGGGCGCGUAGGCGGCCAUUCAAGUGACGGGUGAAAGCCCUCGGCUUAACCGAGGAACUGCCUGUCAGACUGGAUGGCUUGAGACCGGGAGAGGUGAGUGGAAUUCCCAGUGUAGCGGUGAAAUGCGUAGAUAUUGGGAGGAACACCAGUGGCGAAGGCGGCUCACUGGACCGGAACUGACGCUGAGGCGCGAAAGCGUGGGGAGCAAACAGG
rnacentral:rRNA from 1 species